GUUUCGCUACGUUUGUCUUCGGUCCCUGUUGCCUGUGUUCCAGUGCCGGUAUUUGAGGCUCCUGCACCAGCAAUCUCAGACUCAAUUUCCAGGCCAGAUGUCGCUACUAAACGUGCUAAGGAUGAGGAUGA